rnacentral:misc_RNA from 1 species
CCUGGUUGAAAAUGUGCUGCAUCCGCAGAUCCAUUCGGAUUGCUCUCAUCCUAUCCCACAAGAAAUUAUAUAUGCCUAGAAACCUAUCAUCGUAAGGCUGAUCUAGCAAAUUGAGCAGAUAAUCAAUAGUCUUCUGCAGGACAGGCAUUGGACGUAUAAGACUUGCUUCCCUCUCUGCUGUUCUAUUAUACUUCUUAACAGCAAUAAAUUUGUUUGUUUGAUUUCUAUCGCCAUCCAAGCGUUCAUACUGGUCAAGAUCCCCUUUCCUUUCUCGUUCACCCCUUUCUGACUCAGGGCACAUAUCUGGACACAACCCAAUAAUAACAGUGGAGCUUUCUAAGCCAUCACAAUCAGAAGAAAUAAUGCC